rnacentral:rRNA from 1 species
GGAUGACCUGUGGCUGGGGGUGAAAGGCCAAUCAAACCGGGAGAUAGCUGGUUCUCCCCGAAAGCUAUUUAGGUAGCGCCUCGUGAAUUCAUCUCCGGGGGUAGAGCACUGUUUCGGCUAGGGGGCCAUCCCGGCUUACCAACCCGAUGCAAACUGCGAAUACCGGAGAAUGUUAUCACGGGAGACACACGGCGGGUGCUAACGUCCGUCGUGAAGAGGGAAACAACCCAGACCGCCAGCUAAGGUCCCAAAGUCAUGGUUAAGUGGGAAACGAUGUGGGAAGGCCCAGACAGCCAGGAUGUUGGCUUAGAAGCAGCCAUCAUUUAAAGAAAGCGUAAUAGCUCACUGGUCGAGUCGGCCUGCGCGGAAGAUGUAACGGGGCUAAACCAUGCACCGAAGCUGCGGCAGCGAACGUAUCACCCAAGACAACUUUACGGAGUUGACGAUUGACGGAGCGAAGCGACGUCAAAGCGUUCAUUAAAGUCGAGUUGGCUUAGGGAUACGUUCGUUGGGUAGGGGAGCGUUCUGUAAGCCUGUGAAGGUGUGUCGUGAGGCAUGCUGGAGGUAUCAGAAGUGCGAAUGCUGACAUAAGUAACGAUAAAGCGGGUGAAAAGCCCGCUCGCCGGAAGACCAAGGGUUCCUGUCCAACGUUAAUCGGGGCAGGGUGAGUCGACCCCUAAGGCGAGGCCGAAAGGCGUAGUCGAUGGGAAACGGGUUAAUAUUCCCGUACUUGGUGUUACUGCGAAGGGGGGACGGAGAAGGCUAUGUUGGCCGGGCGACGGUUGUCCCGGUUUAAGCGUGUAGGUGUGUGUUCCAGGUAAAUCCGGUU